rnacentral:rRNA from 1 species
AACGAACGCUGGCGGCAUGCCUAACACAUGCAAGUCGAACGAAGGCUUCGGCCUUAGUGGCGCACGGGUGCGUAACGCGUGGGAAUCCGCCCUUUGCUUCGGAAUAACAGAUAGAAAUGACUGCUAAUACCGGAUGAUGUCGCAAGACCAAAGAUUUAUCGGCAAAGGAUGAGCCCGCGUAGGAUUAGCUAGUUGGUGGGGUAAAGGCCUACCAAGGCGACGAUCCUUAGCUGGUCUGAGAGGAUGAUCAGCCACACUGGGACUGAGACACGGCCCAGACUCCUACGGGAGGCAGCAGUGGGGAAUAUUGGACAAUGGGCGAAAGCCUGAUCCAGCAAUGCCGCGUGAGUGAUGAAGGCCUUAGGGUUGUAAAGCUCUUUUACCCGGGAUGAUAAUGACAGUACCGGGAGAAUAAGCUCCGGCUAACUCCGUG